UGGGGAAUAUUGCGCAAUGGGCGAAAGCCUGACGCAGCGACGCCGCGCGAGGGAUGAAGGUUUUCGGAUCGUAAACCUCUGUCAGAAGGGAAGAAACCGCACUGUGCUAAUCAGCAGUGCCUUGACGGUACCUUCAAAGGAAGCACCGGCUAACUCCGUGCCAGCAGCCGCGGUAAUACGGAGGGUGCAAGCGUUAAUCGGAAUUACUGGGCGUAAAGCGCACGUAGGCUGCUUUGUAAGUCAGGGGUGAAAUCCCACGGCUCAACCGUGGAACUGCCUUUGAUACUGCUUAGCUUGAAUCCGGGAGAGGGUGGCGGAAUUCCAGGUGUAGGAGUGAAAUCCGUAGAUAUCUGGAGGAACGUCAGUGGCGAAGGCGGCCACCUGGACCGGUAUUGACGCUGAGGUGCGAAAGCGUGGGGAGCAAACAGG
rnacentral:rRNA from 1 species